rnacentral:rRNA from 1 species
UUCAGUGAAAAUUUAAAUACAGUUACAUGAAAUCUACAACGUACUACAGCCGGGUUAGUACUUGCAUGGGUGACCGGCUGGGAAUACCCGGUGUUGCUGACC